GUGGAAAAGGCUUGUCUUUAGUAUGAUUUUGAGCAUAGGUACAUCUACACUUUCACUGGAAUAGAGGACUGGCCUCCUCAAUCUUUGUAGUACCAGACCUGAAACUGCAGCAUCAUGGAAACCGAGUAUUCUAAAAGGGUCUAUCAAGGGGUUAGGGUCAAGCACACAGUGAAAGAUCUACUGGCAGAGAAACGACAAAAUCAAACAAAUGGACCAAGAUAUAAUGGAGGAACAUCCAGCCAAUCAUCAUUUGUCCAAAUGCCAGG